UAGGGAAUCUUCCGCAAUGGGCGAAAGCCUGACGGAGCAACGCCGCGUGAGUGAUGAAGGUCUUCGGAUCGUAAAACUCUGUUAUUAGGGAAGAACAAAUGUGUAAGUAACUAUGCACGUCUUUACGGUACCUAAUCAGAAAGCCACGGCUAACUACGUUCCAGCAGCCUCGGUAAUACGUAGGUGGCAAGCGUUUUCCGGAAUUAUUGGGCGUAAAGCGCGCGUAGGCGGUUUUUUAAGUCUGAUGUGAAAGCCCACGGCUCAACCGUGGAGGGUCAUUGGAAACUGGAAAACUUGAGUGCAGAAGAGGAAAGUGGAAUUCAAUGUGUAGCGGUGAAAUGAGCAGAGAUAUGGAGGAACACCAGUGGCGAAGGCGACUUUCUGGUCUGUAACUGACGCUGAUGUGCGAAAGCGUGGGGAUCAAACAGG
rnacentral:rRNA from 1 species